AGAACUUAGCAGAGAUGCUUUGGUGCCUUCGGGAACUCUGAGACAGGUGCUGCAUGGCUGUCGUCAGCUCGUGUUGUGAAAUGUUGGGUUAAGUCCCGCAACGAGCGCAACCCUUAUCCUUUGUUGCCAGCGGUUAGGCUGGGAACUCAAAGGAGACUGCCAGUGAUAAACUGGAGGAAGGUGGGGAUGACGUCAAGUCAUCAUGGCCCUUACGAGUAGGGCUACACACGUGCUACAAUGGCGCAUACAAAGAGAAGCGACCUCGCGAGAGCAAGCGGACCUCAUAAAGUGCGUCGUAGUCCGGAUUGGAGUCUGCAACUCGACUCCAUGAAGUCGGAAUCGCUAGUAAUCGUGGAUCAGAAUGCCACGGUGAAUACGUUCCCGGGCCUUGUACACACCGCCCGUCACACCAUGGGAGUGGGUUGCAAAAGAAGUAGGUAGCUUAACCUUCGGGAGGGCGCUUACCACUUUGUGAUUCAUGACUGGGGUGAAGUCGUAACAAGGUAGGCGUAGUGCU
rnacentral:rRNA from 1 species